rnacentral:ncRNA from 1 species
AAUAUAAAAGCAUAUUUACUCAUAUAAGCCCCUAAUAUGGUGGGGUGUUUCUACCUAUAGCCUUAAACUAUAGUCUAUGAGUUGGAAUUAA